rnacentral:rRNA from 1 species
UGAGGAAUAUUGGUCAGUGGGCGCAAGCCUGAACCAGCCAAGUAGCGUGAGGGAAGACUGCCCUAUGGGUUGUAAACCUCUUUUGUGCGGGGAUAAAGUGUGGGACGUGUCCCAUAUUGCAGGUACCGCACGAAUAAGGACCGGCUAAUUCCGUGCCAGCAGCCGCGGUAAUACGGAAGGUCCGGGCGUUAUCCGGAUUUAUUGGGUUUAAAGGGAGCGCAGGCCGUCCUUUAAGCGUGCUGUGAAAUGCCGCGGCUCAACCGUGGCACUGCAGCGCGAACUGGAGGACUUGAGUACGCACGAGGUAGGCGGAAUUCGUGGUGUAGCGGUGAAAUGCUUAGAUAUCACGAAGAACUCCGAUUGCGAAGGCAGCUUACCGGAGCGCAACUGACGCUGAGGCUCGAAAGCGCGGGUAUCGAACAGGAUUAGAUACCCUGGUAGUCCGCGCGGUAAACGAUGGAUGCCCGCCGUUGGGUUUUAGAAUUCAGCGGCCAAGCGAAAGCGUUAAGCAUCCCACCUGGGGAGUACGCCGGCAACGGUGAAACUCAAAGGAAUUGACGGGGGCCCGCACAAGCGGAGGAACAUGUGGUUUAAUUCGAUGAUACGCGAGGAACCUUACCCGGGCUUGAAUUGCAGGAGAACGAUCCAGAGAUGGUGAGGCCCUUCGGGGCUCCUGUGAAGGUGCUGCAUGGUUGUCGUCAGCUCGUGCCGUGAGGUGUCGGCUCAAGUGCCAUAACGAGCGCAACCCCUGUCCAUAGUUGCCAUCAGGUCGUGCUGGGCACUCUGUGGAGACUGCCGCCGUAAGGUGUGAGGAAGGUGGGGAUGACGUCAAAUCAGCACGGCCCUUACGUCCGGGGCUACACACGUGUUACAAUGGGGCAUACAGCGAGUUGGAUGUGCGCAAGUACGUCCGGAUCAAUAAAGUGCCUCUCAGUUCGGACUGGGGUCUGCAACCCGACCCCACGAAGCUGGAUUCGCUAGUAAUCGCGCAUCAGCCAUGGCGCGGUGAAUACGUUCCC